UACGGGGGGGAGCAAGCGUUGUUCGGAUUUACUGGGCGUAAAGGGCGCGUAGGCGGUCAGCACAAGUCAGUUGUGAAAUCUCCGGGCUUAACUCGGAAAGGUCAACUGAUACUGUGCGACUAGAGUGCGGAAGGGGCAACUGGAAUUCUUGGUGUAGUGGUGAAAUGCGUAGAUAUCAAGAGGAACACCUGCGGCGAAGGCGGGUUGCUGGGCCGACACUGACGCUGAGGCGCGAAAGCCAGGGGAGCGAACGGG
rnacentral:rRNA from 1 species